rnacentral:rRNA from 1 species
UACCAGCUCUCCGAGUGGUAGGGAUGAUUAUUGGGCUUAAAGCGUCCGUAGCCGGCUUAGCAAGUCUCCUGUUAAACUCAGCGACCUAAUCGUUGAUCCGCGGGAGAUACUACUAGGCUAGGAGGCGGGAGAGGUCGACGGUACUUCCGGGGUAGGGGUGAAAUCCUAUAAUCCCGGGAGGACCACCAGUGGCGAAGGCUGUCGACUAGAACGCGCUCGACGGUGAGGGACGAAAGCUGGGGGAGCGAACCGGAUUAGAUACCCGGGUAGUCCAGGGUGUAAACGCUGCUUGCUUGAUGUUAGUUGGGCUCCGAGCCCAAUUAGUGUCGGAGAGAAGUUGUUAAGCAAGCUGCCUGGGAAGUACGAUCGCAAGAUUGAAAACUUAAAGGAAUUGGCGGGGGAGCACAGCAACGGGUGGAGCGUGCGGUUU